rnacentral:rRNA from 1 species
AUUGAACGCUGGCGGCAGGCCUAACACAUGCAAGUCGAACGAGUGGCGGACGGGUGAGUAAUGUCUGGGAAACUGCCUGAUGGAGGGGGAUCACUACUGGAAACGGUAGCUAAUACCGCAUACCAUCAGAUGUGCCCAGAUGGGAUUAGCUAGUUGGUGGGGUAACGGCUCACCAAGGCGACGCUCCCUAGCUGGUCUGAGAGGAUGACCAGCCAGUCUGGAAAUGAGACACGGUCCAGACUCCUACGGGAGGCAGCGGUGGGGAAGAUUGCACAAUGAGCGCAAUCCUGAUGCAGCCAUGCCGCGUGUAUGAGGAAGGCCUUCGGGUUGUAAAGUACUUUCAGCGGGGAGGCGUUACCCGCAGAAGAAGCACCGGCUAACUCCGUGCCAGCAGCCGCGGUAAUUC